AUUGAACGCUGGCGGCAGGCCUAACACAUGCAAGUCGAGCGGAUGAAGGGAGCUUGCUCCUGGAUUCAGCGGCGGACGGGUGAGUAAUGCCUAGGAAUCUGCCUGGUAGUGGGGGAUAACGUCCGGAAACGGGCGCUAAUACCGCAUACGUCCUGAGGGAGAAAGUGGGGGAUCUUCGGACCUCACGCUAUCAGAUGAGCCUAGGUCGGAUUAGCUAGUUGGUGGGGUAAAGGCCUACCAAGGCGACGAUCCGUAACUGGUCUGAGAGGAUGAUCAGUCACACUGGAACUGAGACACGGUCCAGACUCCUACGGGAGGCAGCAGAGGGGAAUAUUGGACAAUGGGCGCAAGCCUGAUCCAGCCAUGCCGCGUGUGUGAAGAAGGUCUUCGGAUUGUAAAGCACUUUAAGUUGGGAGGAAGGGCAGUAAGUUAAUACCUUGCUGUUUUGACGUUACCAACAGAAUAAGCACCGGCUAACUUCGUG
rnacentral:rRNA from 1 species